UACGGAGGGUGCGAGCGUUGUCCGGAAUCACUGGGCGUAAGGGGCGCGUAGGCGGCCCGGCAAGUCAACGGUGAAAGCUUGGGGCUCAACCCCGAGUCGGCCGUCGAUACUUCCGGGCUGGAGCACUGUAGAGGCAGGUGGAAUUCCGGGUGUAGCGGUGGAAUGCGUAGAGAUCCGGAAGAACACCGGUGGCGAAGGCGGCCUGCUGGGCAGUAGCUGACGCUGAGGCGCGACAGCGUGGGGAGCAAACAGG
rnacentral:rRNA from 1 species